rnacentral:rRNA from 1 species
CGGCAGACGGGUGAGUAACGCGUGGGUAACCUGCCUCAUACAGGGGGAUAACAGUUAGAAAUGACUGCUAAUACCGCAUAAGACCACAGGGCCGCAUGGCCCGGUGGUAAAAACUCCGGUGGUAUGAGAUGGACCCGCGUCUGAUUAGCUGGUUGGUGGGGUAACGGCCUACCAAGGCGACGAUCAGUAGCCGACCUGAGAGGGUGACCGGCCACAUUGGGACUGAGACACGGCCCAAACUCCUACGGGAGGCAGCAG